AUUGUAGUCUGCAACCCGACUACAUGAAGCUGGAAUCGCUAGUAAUCGCGGAUCAGAAUGCCGCGGUGAAUACGUUCCCGGGUCUUGUACACACCGCCCGUCACACCAUGGGAGUCGGAAAUGCCCGAAGUCUGUGACCCAACCUAAAGGAGGGAGCAGCCGAAGGCAGGUCGGAUGACUGGGGUGAAGUCGUAACAAGGUAAC
rnacentral:rRNA from 1 species